rfam:Eubacterium sp. CAG:603 genomic scaffold, scf95
UAUUUUAGUAGAGGUUGCGUAUCAUAUCAGUAAUGUGGCAGAUGUGUCAGGCACAUAAGAAGUCAUGUGAAAGGGUGUUACGCCGAAAGAAUAUUCUUCCUGAGAGAAUAUAUCUUGGGCAUAUGGUUAAAAGCUAUAUGACUGUCAUCUUAUAGAGAUGGUGAGCUACAGACGUG